CCCCGGGGCGGGGCGGCCGCGGGACCCGGUCUUCCACAGGCCGGGCGGCCGUAGGUUCGGCUCCCGGCCCGGAGCC
rnacentral:tRNA from 1 species